rnacentral:rRNA from 1 species
CGGCGGACGGGUGAGUAACACGUGGAUAACCUACCUAUAAGACUGGGAUAACUUCGGGAAACCGGAGCUAAUACCGGAUAAUAUAUUGAACCGCAUGGUUCAAUAGUGAAAGACGGUUUUGCUGUCACUUAUAGACGGAUCCGCGCCGCAUUAGCUAGUUGGUAAGGUAACGGCUUACCAAGGCAACGAUGCGUAGCCGACCUGAGAGGGUGAUCGGCCACACUGGAACUGAGACACGGUCCAG